rnacentral:rRNA from 1 species
AGAGUUUGAUCCUGGCUCAGGAUAAACGUUUGCGGCGUGCCUGAUGCAUGCAAGUCGAACGCCCUGAUUUUUCGCAAGAUUGAUCAGGGAGUGGCGAACGGCUGAGUAACACGUAAGUAACCUAUCCCUAAGUGGGGAUAACUUGCCGAAAGGCAGGCUAAUACCGCAUGUGCUGGUAAGCGUCAGUUUAUCAGCAAAGCUUUUGCGCUUGGGGAGGGGCUUGCGUCUGAUUAGCUAGUUGGUAAGGUAAUGGCCUACCAAGGCGAUGAUCAGUAGCUGGUCUGAGAGGACAACCAGCCAGACGGGGACUGAGAUACGGCCCUGACUCCUACGGGAG